rnacentral:lncRNA from 1 species
ACAAUUUAAAAAAAAAAUGUGAUUUUAGAAUGUCACAUAAACAAAUCCUAUUUCGUUAUUAUAUAUAAGAGUCCAUUGAUUGUUCCACUUCACUUUAUAUAUAGAAAUUCAUAAACAAGAAUCUACAACAAGUGUUGCCUAAUUAUCUCUUUUGUUUCCCUUGAGCACAAUUGAUUGAUUCUGGAUAAGACUACUGGAGGAAUACGAGCUGGACGGAAACUCUUAUCAAGUACA